GCAUGUCAAGACAAGCUGGCGGUGGCAUCUGUUACUCUAUUGAUUGGCAGUGCUUGUUCAAAAGCUUUGGCCAGUUGAGUGGGUGUCUCCUUUCUCCUCACCUAUCUACAUGUGUUCCCCUAAGGCUACAUUCCAGCUGAAGACAUAGGAGAUUUGAAAUUGAAGGAGUAGCAUUCUUCAAUGCCAGGACAUUAUAAGCAAACUUUCUAUCAUUACUGAUGGAAGAACCAAACAGAGGUCAGUUUAGAGAGGCUAGAAGGGACUUCUGUCCAGAAGGAAAAAAUAUCAUUUAGUAAAUGCACUAAAG
rnacentral:sRNA from 1 species